rnacentral:hammerhead_ribozyme from 1 species
GAACUGCUGACGAGUCCAAAACAGGACUAGACAGCUUUCCAGUGC